AUUGAACGCUGGCGGCAGGCCUAACACAUGCAAGUCGAACGGUAACAGGAAGAAGCUUGCUUCUUUGCUGACGAGUGGCGGACGGGUGAGUAAUGUCUGGGAAACUGCCUGAUGGAGGGGGAUAACUACUGGAAACGGUAGCUAAUACCGCAUAACGUCGCAAGACCAAAGAGGGGGACCUUCGGGCCUCUUGCCAUCGGAUGUGCCCAGAUGGGAUUAGCUAGUAGGUGGGGUAACGGCUCACCUAGGCGACGAUCCCUAGCUGGUCUGAGAGGAUGACCAGCCACACGGGAACUGAGACACGGUCCAGACUCCUACGGGAGGCAGCAGUGGGGAAUAUUGCACGAUGGGCGCAAGCCUGAUGCAGCCAUGCCGCGUGUAUGAAGAAGGCCUUCGGGUUGUAAAGUACUUUCAGCGGGGAGGAAGGGAGUAAAGUUAAUACCUUUGCUCAUUGACGUUACCCGCAGAAGAAGCACCGGCUAACUCCGUG
rnacentral:rRNA from 1 species